GGGAUUUAUGCACCUUAGACAUAAUAAUACAAGUGAUAGCGACCACUUAAAAAGCUUA
rnacentral:ncRNA from 1 species